rnacentral:lncRNA from 1 species
UUCUGGGCACCUAGCUGUCUGUCAGAGCUAUUCUGACCUCCCUUCAGGUGGUGUGUACACCAGCGUAUUCAGUGACUUGCCAAAUCCAGUUAUCCUUGGAACCUUUACACCUUUUGGAUGUGGCAGCAUUUCUUUUCCUAAGAGUCAUUCAACAGUUUCGAAAGACAGAUGAGCAAGCAUGAUGUAAUUUUACGGCAUUUUAAUUGAACAUCUUAUUCUGUGACACUACAGACAAGAUGGAAAAGUAAUCAUGACUUUCACGAAGAAAAAAUGGAUUUCACUUGAUAUUCCAGGGAUUGUUAAAGUUAGGUUCUUUUGACACUGUUUCUGGUGUCCUUGUUCAUUCCUGGACUUUGGGAGAAAUUUAAUUUAUAGUUGAGCUUUGAAACAAAGGCAAUAACAAUCCUUUCCCAAAACAGACCUCCUUACUCCAUGUGGACUAGACUGCCUGAAGCCACAAGAUUAGAAGUUACGGUACUGAUAUGAAGUGAACUGCCAAGGAUGUUCAGAAGCAUCUGAGAUCAGUGUUCAGUUUCAUCUGUAGCAGGACGAGCUACAGACAAAACCCCUCAGACACCGAGUUAAAGAAGGAAGGACUUUAUUCAGCCGAGAGCUUCGGCAAGACUCACGCCUCCAACAACCGAGCAAUUCCUGUCCCUUUUAAGGGCUCACAACUCUAAGGGAGUCUGCGUGAGAGGGUCGUGAUCAAUGGAGCAAGCAGGGGACAAACAGUAGCAGUGAUGUUUAAUUAGGAAGGAGGCCUGGUGAUCAGCAGAAAAGGAAACAUCAUAAGGGAAUGGACCUGGCCUUCAAAAGGAAAACUUGAUAAUCCAGUGGAAAUUUGGGAUUAAUUCAAACACUUCUGAGCUGCCAGUCUGAAACUGUGUCCGGAAUUGGUGGAUUCUUGGUCUCACUGACUUCAAGAAUGAAGCCGCGGACCCUCGCAGUAAAUAGGUUCAUCACUGUGAAGAUUUCUGGACAUUCUGCCACCACCUUGGUCUACAAGUGGCAUUCCCAAAGCCUGAAGCUAUCUUUGGCACCUGUAAAACGCCAGCCUUUCCCUCCAUGCCUACCCAAAGUGGAAUGGAACCGCAGCACAUUUGCAAAAUAACCAAGUUUCCACAAAUAGUACCCAGGAAAGAGAACGCCUCAUCAGCAAAAGUUUCUCUGAAACAAGGUGCAAAGGAGAAAGGCGAGGAUAAGGAGUACCUUCAAUGCCGAAAUACCUUCCUAGAACAAAAGGGUGUCUUGAAGCCUUUGCCUCUUUGUCACAUCCGGAAGGCCCCAGCCGGCAAUCAGACCUUCCGGUGUUUCUAGGACUAUGGGCUUGUAACCUGCUGAGCUAGGUUUCACCUGCAGAUACAAAGAAGCUGGUUCACCUGCAGAUACAGAGAAACUGGGUGGAUGGGAGGGUAGAAUCACAGAGUCAUUCGGAUUCCUUUCGGUUGCUCAAAUAUAACAUUGUAUCUGCUUCUAAAUUCAUGGGCAACAAUUGUCCUCUUCUGGUUCAAAGGCACAAUAUAAUCCCAGGAAUUUUUUUGCAAUCCAGGGGGUAGGUACUAAUUUUAUCCCUGAUAACAGAGGUGGAAACUGAGACACAGGUUAACUUAUCUAAGGUCAAGGAGCUCGC